rnacentral:rRNA from 1 species
AUUGAACGCUGGCGGCAUGCCUUACACAUGCAAGUCGAACGGAAACGCGGGGCAACCUGGCGACGAGUGGCGAACGGGUGAGGAAUGUAUCGGAACGUGCCCAGUUGUGGGGGAUAACUUCUCGAAAGAGCAGCUACUACCGCAUACGACCUGAGGGUGAAAGCGGGGGAUCGCAAGACCUCGCGCAAUUGGAGCGGCCGAUAUCAGAUUAGGUAGUUGGUGGGGUAAAGGCUCACCAAGCCACCGAUCUGUAGCUUGUCCGAGAGGACGACCAGCCACACUGGGACUGAGACACGGCCCAGACUUCUACGGGAGGCAGCAGUGGGGAAUUUUGGACAAUGGACGCAAGUCUGAUCCAGCCAUGCCGCGUGCGGGAAGAAGGCCUUCGGGUUGUAAACCGCUUUUGUCAGGGAAGAAACGCUCUGGGUUAAUACCUCGGGGUAAUGACGGUACCUGAAGAAUAAGCACCGGCUAACUACGUGCCAGCAGCCGCAGUAACAC